rnacentral:rRNA from 1 species
AUAACGGUCCCAAGGUAGCAAAUUUCCUUGUCGUUUAAGUAACGACCUGCAUGAAGGAUGGAACGAAUCGAUAGCUCUCUUGCGUAGGUGUGGUGGUGAAAUAUUAGGUGGUGUGAAGAUACUCCAACAACGUUAAGGGACAAAAAGACCCUGUGAACCUUUAUAGGGAUAAAAUUUAGUAGGGGUUCU